AGCAGUCGCCGCGGUAAUGCGUAGGUGGCAAGCGUUGUCCGGAAUUAUUGGGCGUAAAGGGCUCGCAGGCGGUUUCUUAAGUCUGAUGUGAAAGCCCCCGGCUCAACCGGGGAGGGUCAUUGGAAACUGGGAAACUUGAGUGCAGAAGAGGAGAGUGGAAUUCCACGUGUAGCGGUGAAAUGCGUAGAGAUGUGGAGGAACACCAGUGGCGAAGGCGACUCUCUGGUCUGUAACUGACGCUGAGGAGCGAAAGCGUGGGGAGCGAACAGGAUUAGAUACCCCUGUAGUCCCUGUCUCUUAUAC
rnacentral:rRNA from 1 species